AAAACAAUAGUAUGUACUCUGUAGGAGUGUGUGUAUAUAUGUGUGUAUAUACACACAGAGACACAUUUAGAGUCACAUUUAUAAACAAGCCACAGAACACAUUGCAAUGCUUGAAAACACUCCAGUGUGUCUAUGGACAUCUUGUUCUCUCCUUCUGUCCUUGAGGUAUCAGGUUUCCUUGUUUACAGUCUGCCUCAUUCAGGAUCUGGAAUUCCUAAAGAGCAGCAAAACCCUAUCAUGUGACUGAAGACUGAUUUCCAGGAAAAGCGGAAGGGGUUCUAGGAAAGAUCUGCCUUUUUGAUGGCCUCUUCUGGAGCAACCAACCUGGAGGAAAUUCAUGUCUGAGCUGAUGAAGCUCAGUUUUAUUCUCAGCUUCUCAUUGGAAAUAUGGAAGUUUUUCUUCUAUCUGCAUUUUUCCCAUGGUGUUCCUAAUUAAAGAACUGUGGUUAAUUCUG